CCUGUGUCCUUCCCAGGCCAUCUUGUCGGUGAGCACUGUAGGAGGUCCCACUCCUGGGGACAGUGUCUGCCAUGUCCGCCCGGGACCUUUAUGGAGAGGCUCAACGGAAUGGAAGCCUGCUUCAAGUGCUCCACCUGCUCCAAGAAUGAGGAAGUGUUAGAGGAGUGCACGCCGACCCACGACAGAGUGUGCCAGUGCCGAUCGGGCUAUUUCUACGCCCACGUGGGAUCCUCUGAAAGCUGCAGCCCGUGUAGCACGUGGGUGAUCCUGCUCGGGGGCCCUGGGUGGGGGAGGGGGCCCUGCGCCGGGGAGGGGGCCGUGGUCCCUCC
rnacentral:lncRNA from 1 species